ACGCUCGACACCUACGGAGGCAGCAGUGGGGAAUAUUGCACAAUGGGGGGAAACCCUGAUGCAGCGACGCCGCGUGGAGGAAGAAGGUCUUCGGAUUGUAAACUCCUGUUGUUGGGGAAAAAGAGGAUGGUACCCAACAAGGAAGUGACGGCUAACUACGUGCCAACAGCCGCGGUAAUCUGAGCGGGCUGGCAAGGC
rnacentral:rRNA from 1 species